GACGAACUGUUCUAACGUUAUUCGGAAUCACUGGGCUUAAAGGGCGCGUAGGCGGCUUGUUAAGUCUGGAGUGGAAGUCCUCUUUUCAAGGGAGGAAUUGCUUUGGAAACUGGCGGGCUUGAGUGCAGGAGAGGUUAUCGGAAUUCCCGGUGUAGCGGUGAAAUGCGUAGAGAUCGGGAGGAACACCAGUGGCGAAGGCGGGUAACUGGACUGCAACUGACGCUGAGGCGCGAAAGUGUGGGGAGCAAACAGGAUUAGAUACCCGGGUAGUCCCUGAGCGGG
rnacentral:rRNA from 1 species